rnacentral:rRNA from 1 species
GACGAACGCUGGCGGCGUGCCUAAUACAUGCAAGUAGAACGCACAGUUUAUACCGUAGCUUGCUACACCAUAGACUGUGAGUUGCGAACGGGUGAGUAACGCGUAGGUAACCUGCCUGGUAGCGGGGGAUAACUAUUGGAAACGAUAGCUAAUACCGCAUAAUAUUGAUUAUUGCAUGAUAAUUAAUUGAAAGGUGCAAUUGCACUACUACCAGAUGGACCUGCGUUGUAUUAGCUAGUAGGUGAGGUAACGGCUCACCUAGGCGACGAUACAUAGCCGACCUGAGAGGGUGAUCGGCCACACUGGGACUGAGACACGGCCCAGACUCCUACGGGAGGCAGCAGUAGGGAAUCUUCGGCAAUGGACGAAAGUCUGACCGAGCAACGCCGCGUGAGUGAAGAAGGUUUUCGGAUCGUAAAGCUCGGUUGUAAGAGAAGAACGGGUGUGAGAGUGGAAAGUUCACACUGUGACGGUAUCUUACCAGAAAGGGACGGCUAACUACGUG